rnacentral:rRNA from 1 species
GACGAACGCUGGCGGCGUGCUUAACACAUGCAAGUCGAACGGAAAGGCCCUGCUUUUGUGGGGUGCGCGAGUGGCGAAAGGGGGAGUAACACGUGUGUAACCUGCCCUUGACUUUGGGAUAACUUCAGGAAACUGGGGCGAAUACCGGAUAUGAGCUCCUGCUGCACGGUGGGGGAUGGAAAGAUUCGGCGGUUGGGGAUGGACUCGCGGCUUAGCAGCUUGUUGGUGGGGUAGUGGCUUACCAAGGCUUUGACGGGUAGCCGGCCUGAGAGGGUGACCGGCCACAUAGGGACUGAGAUACGGCCCAGACUGCUACGGGAGGAAGCAGUGGGGAACAUUGCACACUGGGCGGAAGCCUGAUGGAGCAACGCCGCGUGCGGGAUGACGGCUUUCGGGUUGUAAACCGCUUUCGCCUGUGACGAAGCGUGAGUGACGGUAAUGGGUAAAGAAGCACCGGCUAACUACGUG